rnacentral:rRNA from 1 species
CAGCAGCCACGGUAAUACGUAGGGUGCGAGCGUUAAUCGGAAUUACUGGGCGUAAAGCGUGCGCAGGCGGUUUUGUAAGACAGAGGUGAAAUCCCCGGGCUCAACCUGGGAACUGCCUUUGUGACUGCAAGGCUAGAGUACGGCAGAGGGGGAUGGAAUUCCGCGUGUAGCAGUGAAAUGCGUAGAUAUGCGGAGGAACACCGAUGGCGAAGGCAAUCCCCUGGGCCUGUACUGACGCUCAUGCACGAAAGCGUGGGGAGCAAACAGGAUUAGAUACCCCUGUAGUCCCUGUCUCUUAUAA